rnacentral:rRNA from 1 species
CAGAGGUGGCGACCGUUGUUCGGAAUCACUGGGCAUAAAGCGCGUGUAGGCGGCAUUGUAAGUCGGGUGUGAAAUCCCUCGGCCUAACCGAGGAAUUGCGCUCGAAACUACUUUGCUUGAGGAUCAGAGGGGAGCCUGGAAUUCCUGGUGGAGCGGUGAAAUGCGUUGAUAUCAGGAGGAACACCGGCGGCGAAGGCGAGGCUCUGGCUGAUUUCUGACGCUGAGACGCGAAAGCUAGGGGAGCAAACGGGAUUAGAUACCCCGGUAGUCCUAGCCGUAAACGAUGGGUACUAGGUAGGGGGGGACCCAAUCCCUCCCUGCUGGAGCAAAUGUAUUAAGUACCCCGCCUGGGGAGUAUAGUCGCAAGGCUG